UACAGAGGUCCCAAGCGUUGUUCGGAUUUACUGGGCGUAAAGGGUGCGUAGGCGGCGCGGUAAGUCGGGUGUGAAAUCUCGGGGCUUAACUCCGAAACUGCAUUCGAUACUGCCGUGCUUGAGGACUGGAAAGGAGACUGGAAUUUACGGUGUAGCGGUGAAAUGCGUAGAUAUCGUAAGGAAGACCAGUGGCGAAGGCGGGUCUCUGGACAGUUCCUGACGCUGAGGCACGAAGGUCAGGGGAGCAAACGGG
rnacentral:rRNA from 1 species